rnacentral:tRNA from 1 species
GGGGCCGUAGCCCAACGGCAGGAGGCGAACGGUUUAGGUCCGUUACAGUGCGGGUUCGAAUCCCGCCGGCCCUA